UACAGAGGGGGCAAGCGUUGCUCGGAAUUACUGGGCGUAAAGGGCGCGUAGGCGGCCUGCUAAGUCGGACGUGAAAUCCCUCGGCUCAACCGAGGAACUGCGCCCAAAACUGCCGUGCUCGAGGAAGAUAGAGGUAAGCGGAACUUACGGUGGAGCGGUGAAAUGCGUUGAUAUCGUAAGGAACACCUGUGGCGAAAGCGGCUUACUGGGUCUUUUCUGACGCUGAUGCACGAAAGCUAGGGGAGCAAACGGG
rnacentral:rRNA from 1 species